ACUGGGAUUAGAUACCCCACUAUGCCUAGCCGUAAACUUUAACUUACACCUCAAUCGCCAGGGAACUACGAGCAAAGCUUAAAACCCAAAGGACUUGACGGUACCCCAAAUCCACCUAGAGGAGCCUGUCCUGUAAUCGAUAACCCCCGCUUAACCUCACCUCUUAUCGUCCAUCAGCCUGUAUACCUCCGUCGUCAGCUUACCACGUGAGCGCCACUAAGUGAGCCUAAUGCCCAUACGCCAAUACGUCAGGUCAAGGUGCAGCUAAUGAAGAGGGAAGAGAUGGGCUACACUCUCUACCUUAGAGAAAACAAAAGACUAUUUAUGAAACCUAGUCGGAAGGAGGAUUUAGUAGUAAAAAGAAAACAGAGUGUUCUUUUAACUCGGCACUGGGAUGUGUACACACCGCCCGUCACCCUC
rnacentral:rRNA from 1 species